GGAUCGCUCUUCCUUCCUUUUCAAGCACAAGGUACGCUCCUUUCCUAUUCUGAAGGCAAUCUGCGCGCCAACUUCCUUCUGAAGCCUUGCAGUCCGAUUCUUUCCUCUUUUGCAACAACUUGGGCAGCAAGUUGCAUAUGGGCAGCACCUUGGGCAGCCUCUACACUAAUUAGGAAGCAAGGUCAGCAUCUAAACUUAUUUAGGAAGCACAAUCUGCGCCUCCUUUCCUUUUUGAGAGCAAACCGCGCGCACCAACUUCCUUCAGCAGUGCAUUUUCGCGCAGCCUUCCUUCUGAAGCCGAAAAGCGCGAUUCUUUCCUUUUCAGACACAUCUUGGGCAGAAAAUACCUCUUGGGCAGUAAGUAUGACC
rnacentral:lncRNA from 1 species